AAAGAAAGCAAAAGAUGGAAGCCUAAGGGCCUGCAAGAAGGUGCAUAAAGAAAAAGUGCUUGACGAGGUGCCGGUGUUUAUCUUCAAAUCUGAGGAUAAUGUCUUACCAGCAGCAGCAACAAUGCAAAGUCCCCUGCCAGCAGCCUCCCCAGGUCCCUGAGCUGUGCCUCCCACCCCCAACCCAGCAGAAGUGUCCCCCAGUUAAGUGCCCCUGCUGCCAGCAGAACUAUCUGCGGAAGCAGAAGUAACACCUCUGAAGCCACCUUUCUGGCCUGAUCAUGAGGUUGCUGCGUCGCCUGGCCCACCCACAAGCCCUCACUCCGCACACGCCCAGAAGAUGCUGCCUUCAGACUCCAGAAGGUAUCGGCAUCGUCUAUUGGGUUUUCCUCUCCAAAUCAGCGACUCUUCCCAGCCCCUCUCCCAGGAGACUGUCUGGUGUAGACAGCAGUGCCACCGUCUCUUACCUUCCCCGAGGCCGACUGGUCCUCCCCCUUCUGCUCCACUGCUGUGUCCAGACCGGGCCGACUUGCCAGCCGCUGUCCCCUUACCACACUGCCCCCUGCUGGUUGUAUGCGAUCACUACAAGGACCCAGAUUUCCAGGCUCAGCAAUCUGCCUCCCUGGGGUUCAACAACUUUAGGAAGGUUUCUAGUAGCUAAUAUGGUUGAAAAAUCAAAAGAAGAAAAACUGUUUUAACCCAUCCAAAUUUUCCAGAGUUCUUCAGAGCACAACUCCACUCUCCUGAGGGAGAUAACAAGGUCUUUUGUUCGGAUUUACUCCCUAAUUGUCUCCACACCCCUCACAAAGCUCCUCUCCUUCUGGACUUGAGCCUAUUUAGGGUAUUCCAACCUCUGCGGUCUUCCUUCCUCCCUGCUCCGCAAUAAAACUUCUUUAUCCAGA